rnacentral:rRNA from 1 species
GAUGAACGCUGGCGGCGUGCCUAAUACAUGCAAGUCGAGCGAACGGACGAGAAGCUUGCUUCUCUGAUGUUAGCGGCGGACGGGUGAGUAACACGUGGAUAACCUACCUAUAAGACUGGGAUAACUUCGGGAAACCGGAGCUAAUACCGGAUAAUAUUUUGAACCGCAUGGUUCAAAAGUGAAAGACGGUCUUGCUGUCACUUAUAGAUGGAUCCGCGCUGCAUUAGCUAGUUGGUAAGGUAACGGCUUACCAAGGCAACGAUGCAUAGCCGACCUGAGAGGGUGAUCGGCACAACUGGAACUGAGACACGGUCCAGACUCCUACGGGAGGCAGCAGUAGGGAAUCUUCCGCAAUGGGCGAAAGCCUGACGGAGCAACGCCGCGUGAGUGAUGAAGGUCUUCGGAUCGUAAAACUCUGUUAUUAGGGAAGAACAUAUGUGUAAGUAACUGUGCACAUCUUGACGGUACCUAAUCAGAAAGCCACGGCUAACUACGUG